rnacentral:rRNA from 1 species
GACGAACGCUGGCGGCGCGCUUAACACAUGCAAGUCGAACGGAAAGGCCUGCUUUCCCUUGUGGAUUGCGGGUACUCGAGUGGCGAACGGGUGAGUAACACGUGAGUGAUCUGCCCCCAACUUGGGUAUAAGCCUGGGAAACUGGGUCUAAUUCCCGAUAGGACUGCAGGGUGGUGCCUGUGGUGGAAAACGAUUUUCUAGUGGUUGGGGAUGAGCUCGCGGCCUAUCAGCUUGUUGGUGGGGUAAUGGCCUACCAAGGCGGCGACGGGUAGCCGGUCUGAGAGGGUGGACGGCCACAUUGGGACUGAGAUACGGCCCAGACUCCUACGGGAGGCAGCAGUGGGGAAUAUUACACAAUGGGCGGAAGCCUGAUGCAGCGACGCCGCGUGGGGGAUGACGGCCUUCGGGUUGUAAACUCCUUUCGACCGCGAGGAAGCCACCUGGUUGGAAGGGUGGUGACGGUAGUGGUAGAAGAAGCACCGGCUAACUACGUG